rnacentral:snRNA from 1 species
UUGCUGGCUUCAGAAGCAGAUGUACUAGUAGGAUGACACAGAGAUGACUAUGAUGGGCCCUGUGCAAGGAUCCUGUGCAAAUUUGUGAAACAUUUCAAAUUUUA